rnacentral:rRNA from 1 species
CCUACGGGAGGCAGCAGUGGGGAAUAUUGGGCAAUGGGCGCAAGGCUGACCCAGCAACGCCGCGUGAAGGAAGAAGGCUUUUGGGUUGUAAACUUCUUUUGUCAGGGACGAAGCAAGUGACGGUACCUGACGAAUAAGCCACGGCUAACUACAUGCCAGCAGCCGCGGCAAUACGGCAGGUCCGGGCGUUAUCCGGAUUUAUUGGGGUUAAAGGGUGCGUAGGCCGCAUGGCAGACGUGCUGGUAAAUGUACGGGCUCAACCCGGGCCUUGGCGCGGAAACUGGCGUGCUUGAGUCCGCGGAAAGUAGGCGGAAUUCGUCGUGUAGCGGUGAAAUGCUUAGAUAUGACGAAGAACCCCGAUUGCGAAGGCAGCUUGCUGCAGCCCAACUGACGCUGAUGCUCGAAAGCGUGGGUAUCGAACAGGAUUAGAUACCCGUGUAGUC